GUAGUACUCCCUCCAUUCGGAAUUACUUGUCACAAAAAUGGAUGUAUCUACAACUAAAAUACAUCUAGAUACAUUCAUUUCUUGGACGAGUAAUUCCGAAGGGAGGGAGUAUGUA
rnacentral:pre_miRNA from 1 species